rnacentral:lncRNA from 1 species
UUAUUUUUUUCAAACGAGGAAGUGAAGUCAAGUCCGCCAUUUCAUCUUCUUCUUUAUAUCGGAAAAGAAAAGAAUCAUGCAAGGAUGCAAGCUGAAGGAAAGGACAACUCUCACAUCAGUGCAUUACUAAUUGUUUGACUUCAUCAUCAAGCACACCAGGUGGUGCGGUGCACAGUGGAUAGCUCUGUUGCAUCCCUGCAAAAAUGUUUCUGGGUCCAGCCUCGGCUGGGUCAGUUGGCAUUUCUGUGUGAAGUUUGUAUGUUCUCCCCGUGUUGGCGUGGGUUUCCUCCGGGUGCUCCUGUUUCCUCCACAAGACAUGCGGUACAGCUCAGAUUGUGAUGGACCUGGAAUGCGACACCAGUUACUCUUAAGUCAAGAGCCAAAUGAAGCACCAGAGUACAGAUUAUGGAGCAGGUUCCUUGUAAAGAUGAACCCAGGGAAGGAUCGAAAGUGGAGAAGACCAGAUCAAGAAAGACUACAUCAAGAUCUGCGGUCAGUUCAAAGGAUGUUUUGCAUUGGACUGUUUUUUUUUUUGGCUUUGACCCUUGCUCGCCCCUGACCUCACUCUUUAACUGCCCUGUUGGAUUUUCAGUUUAUUUUAUUUAUUUAUUUAUUUAUUUAUUUUUUGGUUCUGGGUAGAUGCUAAUAAAUAUUUAGUUGUAAUUAUUUAAAUAAUGUGUUUUUGUUAAAUAUGUGAUUUCUGUGUUUGUUCUGUCUACUCAUACUUGUUUAUCUUGUUUCUGUAAUUAUCAUUUGUUUAUUUGACCCUUGCCUCGCCUCUGAUCUUGUUUUUGGAUUGCCCUUUAUAUAUCUUUUUAAUUAUUGGUUCUGUUUAUAUGGUUAUAAAAUAUUUGUUAAUUUAAUUAAUAUGCAUUUUAUAAAAUAAUAUAUAUAUUUUCUGUGUUAAUUCUGUAUCUAUUUAUCUAAUUUGUAUAUACAUUUGUGUUUGAAUGUUCUUCUUAUUCUGUAUAUCCACUUACCUAAUUUUAACUUUUAUAUAUAUUUAUUUGCAUUUAAUUUGUGAUAAUUCUGUAUGCAUUUAUCUAAUUCAUAUAUUUCUUUGUAUUGCAUUGAUCAAUCUGUUGUUGUUUUUGUUGUAUGCAUCUAUUUAUAUAAUUUAUAUAAAUUAUAUAUUUGUAUUUAUCAAUUUAUAUGCUUCCUUUAAAGCAUUUUUUUUUAAAUAAAGCAAUUUAAACUAA